UACAGAGGGUGCGAGCGUUAAUCGGAAUUACUGGGCGUAAAGCGCGCGCAGGCGGUCUUCCAAGUCAGUGGUGAAAGCCCGGAGCUCAACUCCGGAACUGCCAUUGAAACUGUAAGACUUGAGGAUGAGAGAGGUGAGUGGAAUUCCCAGUGUAGAGGUGAAAUUCGUAGAUAUUGGGAAGAACACCGGUGGCGAAGGCGGCUCACUGGCUCAUAUCUGACGCUCAGGCGCGACAGCGUGGGGAUCAAACAGG
rnacentral:rRNA from 1 species